AGAGAUCGAAUUGAAUGAGAGUGAAGAGCCUUAUAAGCAACUAUAGAAACAAUGGAAUAAAUGUGAAGAAAAGCAUCAAACAACAUAGUCUCUUCAUUGCAAGCAUGAGAAGAAAAAUCCCAUCACCCCCUGGAAUUUCUGGAAUGAUUUUGGGAGCUGUUUGUUUCACCAGGCCAUAAUUUCCCUGUUGGCUUAUGGAGCUAGAAAACCAGUUGCCAUGGCUGGGCUGGCAUCAUCACCGCUCUUUGUUGUUGCUCUAUUAUUACACACUGCAGUUGCAGAGGAGAAAGACCCUCACCAAGGACCCAACCAUGAUGGCACCCUGACCUCAGACUUCCGGCUUCCAGAACUAUGAGAAAUAAAUGUCCACUGUUUAA